UAUAUAAGCAGGGGCACUGCCUCUUUGCAGCAGACUCGUCAACCCGACGAGGUCUCACACAUCACUAAUACACGACUCCAGGAGACUCGUCAACCCGACGAGAUCUCACCAAAGGAACACCGUCGACGACAGCAAGUAUUCGCUGCAUCAGCCUGAUCUCGCCUUCUAACAGCCGACUUGGCUAUAAACGCCAAACGCUGCUCUCGGCUAAUCGCUGCAUCUCAGAACCUUCGGCCUCUGUGGAGUCAGCCGACUCACGGCCCCCGGACCUCAGCCAACGGUACUCUCACGGUCACAGACCAUCAACCAACGGCGCCAUGCAUCGGUCGCGGCCUCGAUUCGUCGGCCCUCCUACUCCACUACACAACACCGGCCCUUUUCAGGGCCACAAAACUCCCAGUCACUAAACUGGGAAAACCGUUCUUGAACCACACAAGUUUUGAUACCUCAUCCCCGAGAAAAAUUCUUCACUUCAUAAACAAUGAAUAUCUUCCUGGAAAUAUUUCGCAGACGUGUAAGUGUUAAAAGAGCAAAUCCUUACAACUCCAAAUGGAAAACAUGAAAAUAAACAUUGAAUUUUUUUAAUGUA